rnacentral:tRNA from 3 species
CGGGGUAUAGCGCAGUCCGGUUAGCGCAUCUGCUUUGGGAGCAGAGGGUCGCAGGUUCGAAUCCUGCUACCCCGA